rnacentral:lncRNA from 1 species
CUAUGCCCUAGGGCUAGUGGAAGACUUAAGAUGGCGGCGUUUGCACGGAGUGCAAUCACUGCGUCCUUACGGGGGUUGCAAGGCGUCCGAAGUAUGAGUCCACUAACAAAAGUCCAGAAACUCGCCAGUUAAUAGUAUUGUGUCUCUUCAAAAUAUCGGAGAAUAAUUUCUUUCUCGCUGAUCGCCUAACUUCUACUGACGAAGCUUGGAAGUUGCAGAAGAUGGAGUUCGCUCUUGUUGCCCAGGCUGGAAUGCAAUGGCAUGACCUUGGCUCACUGCAACCUCUGCCUCCCCAGUUCAAGUGGUUCUCCUGCCUCAGCCUCCCGAGUAGCUGAGAUUACAGGUACUGGCUCCUGUAUCACCCAGCUCUGGAGUUGAAAGAGCUCUUCAUUCCUGAGUCUCCUGUACCACUGAGAAUAGAAAUACAAAAAAAAUUCUAAAACUUGUAUGGAACUACAAAAGACAUUAAAUAAUCAAAGUAAUCUUGAGCAACAAGGACACA